GAUGAACGCUGGCGGCGUGCUUAACACAUGCAAGUCGAACGGAAAGGCCGAAGCUUGCUUCGGUACUCGAGUGGCGAACGGGUGAGUAACACGUGGGUGAUCUGCCCUGUACUUCGGGAUAAGCUUGGGAAACUGGGUCUAAUACCGGAUAUGACGAUCUCUUGGAUGGGGUUGUGGAAAGCUUUUGCGGUAUGGGAUGAGCUCGCGGCCUAUCAGCUUGUUGGUGGGGUAAUGGCCUACCAAGGCGUCGACGGGUAGCCGGCCUGAGAGGGUGUACGGCCACAUUGGGACUGAGAUACGGCCCAGACUCCUACGGGAGGCAGUAGUGGGGAAUAUUGCACAAUGGGCGCAAGCCUGAUGCAGCGACGCCGCGUGGGGGAUGACGGCCUUCGGGUUGUAAACUCCUUUCGCAAUCGACGAAGCCUUUUGGUGACGGUAGGUGGAGAAGAAGCACCGGCUAACUACGUG
rnacentral:rRNA from 1 species